rnacentral:lncRNA from 1 species
GUGGAAUGAAACAGACGUUAUUACCUUAUGUACAUAUAUGACUGCAUAUCCGAUGUGAUUCUACAACAUGUACCCUCAGAAAAAUGAGAAAUUAUACUCCAUCUAUGUAUGAUAUGUCAAAGUGCAUAAAUGCAUUCUACUGUCAUGUAUGACUAAUUAAAACAUAUUUAAAAGUUUUUAAAAAGUUAAUAACAAAAAAAUCUCUCUUUUGAGAGAAAAAUUCUGAGUGUUUAAUUUUGGGGAAAAAUAACUCAUGAGUUCUUCCCCAGCAAAUUCUUAAGAGUAAAAGCAGUUGUAGUUUAUUGAAAACCUUUGAGAACAAGAUGAACAAGAAUACCUCAUGCAUUUUGUUACAGUCUCAGCUGCUGAGGCAUAAGGAAGAAGGGACCCACGUGUACAGGUGUAGUGACAUUGACUGGCAUAAAUUCUUUCUCACUUUAUAUGAACAGAGAUUAAUGUAUGGCUCAGUAAAAUUAAAAACCAGACUUACACCUCUGAAUAUGCUCUUGUCUGUACGUCGGCCAGGUCUUUCCCACCAUGCUGACUCAUCUUUUCCAUCUCCGUGACAGUGCACCUAAGACCCUACUGUUCCUUGCAACUUUGGUCAAGGUAACUUUGCCUUAUUAGUUAACUAUUUUUUGGUGAUGGAUGAAAAUGCACUGGACGGUGGGGUACUUACUGAGUCUAUUUUCAGAGUAAAGCUUUGAUUGUGUGGUAGUGAAUUAAAUCAUUAAAAAUAUUUAAAAAUAAUUAAAUAACAUAAUUAAUUAACAUAAUCAUUUUCUGCAAAGCAAAGAAUGGUUUGGUUCUUAACAGUCAUCUUAGCAAUUAUCUCUAAUAAAUUCCCUACCUGGAUAAUAUUGAGUAGUGUUUCGGUAGAAAAGUCUUAUGAAUAGAAAGGUUAUUGUUUUGUUUUUUUUAACAUAUUCUUUCCUAUUCAAUUUGGAGUCGGGACUGUUGGGAUCCAGGCUUGAAAACCAUAUCUGAGAUUGUCAAAUGGACUUUAGAAUGAGCUCUGGGAGGGGUGGCAGGCUGCAGGUUGAAGCAAAAGCAAUUAGUUACCCAUCAUGGGGUUAUUGAUCUUCCCGUCCUUUCUGUUAUCAAGACUUGAAAGGCAAGAUUAAAGUGGCUACUUCAAUACAUCACAAUAUGGAGUAAAUAUUAAUAACCUUUAGAACGCAGGGACUGCAUUCUUCCACGAGACAACCGAGAAUAACUAGCUCUGACCCCUGCAAAGGGGAGGUGAUUGUCAACUUCAGGUGACACCUUUUAAUGACGGAUAAUUUAGAAGAGAUAUCCGGAAAGGCUGAAAUGCCACUUGGAAUAACUGACGUGAAUCAGAAAUCAAAACAAAUGUCUCACCUCUGGAUGUCUGAUUUUAAAAGGCCUUUUCACCUCCAUUUUUCUACGGAGAUUUGACAACAGAAGUCUUUUAAUCACAAGGGCUCCUAUCUGAUUUCCACAUUCUGUGCUUUGCACAUUUGGGGAGAGGGUUCUAACAGAGUCGGAGGCUCACAGGAAUCACAAACAAAGAAAAUAAAAUGGCUUCACAAAGAUCAUGGCCUGAUUUUCCAAACUCUUGUGUUGCCUCCAUCUCCAAGUUCAAUAUUUCUGAGGGCUUCUAUUAAUUAGCAUUUAUUCAGUCGAUCAUUCUACCACCAUGGAUGUCAAAGGUUGGCAAUCUGUAGCCCGGGCCUGUUUCAAUAAAUAAAG